rnacentral:miRNA from 1 species
CAUGACUUGCAAUAAGGCUUGAAUUUCAUUGUUGGACAGGGCUUUCUUUCAUUUGUUUUUGUGAACAAGCUUUAAUCAAAAUAUGGAUAUAUUGCGAGUAAAGCUUGUUCACAAAACCGAACAACGAAAGGCCAGUCCAACGAUGAAAUUCAAGCCUUAUUGCAAGUCAUG